rnacentral:lncRNA from 1 species
GCGACUCGUCGUGUUGGGUCUGAGGGGGUGGUGCCGUCGGAAAGGUCUGGCUUGGUCUCCUCCAGCUCUAGCGGGAGGAGAGUUCCAAUGGUCCAGAUCGCCUGGGCAUCCCUGACCCCUCCGGACCACUGCCCUAGAGGGCGUCCUGUGCCCGACAGCUGGGCUGGCAUUUGCAGAGUACAGAUCUAGGCUGUCUGGAUUAGACUACACGUGAAGAGCCUACUGUUUGCAAAAGUUGACUUUUCUUUCCCGCGGCCACGCUGCAUAGGAUGAAGCUACCGCAGCAAAGCAGCUGUUACAGGUCUAGCAGAAGAGGAAGGAUCCAGCCAAAGAACUUUUUUGCCUCUGACUAAGGAGCCACUGGUUAUCAGGCCCGGCUCAAUUGAAUACCCAUUCGAAUGAAAGAGUGAAGUAUGAAAUAACAAAGGUAGCACAAAACGAUGGGAUGAGGGAUUCGAUGAGAUCACGUAGACGCCCCCAGGAGCAGUUUCUAAAUGCCGUCUGCUGAAGAGUGAUAUUGCUAUAGGCUUGGGCCAGGCUGAGUGACCUGCAGCUGGAACUCUGAAUAUGCUGCCUCUUCUAGAAGGCCUGCUCAGCCUGUCACCUCUUUAUGUCUUCUAAGGAGGGAAUACAUUGGUAGGGGAAGGAGGGCUGUGUGAGCUGGGGUAAGGCAAACUGUUACUAAUAGUCCACCUUGUACCAGUUAUUCAUUAAGCCUCAGUGUAGCCGUAUAAGAUGGAUGGACACAGCAUGUGAUCUAAAGUCUGGGUAAGUUAGUUACUUUACCCAAGCCAUCGGUGUUGUUGGCUAUAGAAGGAUCUGAACCCCAUUCCUACAGCUUUAGAAAUGGCUAAACUUGUGAGUGACUAAACUUUGCUUUCUUUCCUUCUUAUGUUUUGUUUAUUUGUUUGUUUGCUUGCUUGCUUGCUUGCUUGCUUUGGUUCUGGUCCCCCAACACCCCAAUAUCUUGGUGUAUCCUGCUUUGUAAAGCAACAGAUCUUCAAACACCAGCAUCACUUCUCCAGAGGCCAGAGGGUCCCAAUACAAAACAAGCCGGGGCCAAGAUACACUCAGAACUCCCAUCUCACCCUCUCAGGGGUGUGCGCAGGGGCACCAGAUGGGCCAAUUUAAAAUGCUGUUCUCUUUCUCCCUUUUUGGCUAAGCAGGGGGCUGCAGAGGAAAGCCUCAGAAUCAAAUGUUUGCUCCACACAGUUCAACUGAAAUGUAGGUUGUGAUAAAUAGACAUGUGCUCCAGAGCUAGGAGACCAAUCGUGGGCAUCCUGUCCCACUUGUGGGUCUAAGUAGGGGAAAGCUUACAGAAGGCAUACUUACUCUGAAGAUGGAGUGAUAGCUGAAGAGACAGAGUGAUUGACCCCUAGGGCCUAUCAGACACCCAGUUUAGCCUAAUACAGAAAAGCUUGGAGGUGAGAAACAGCAGGUGGAUCCAAGGAAAUUCAUCAGGAGCAUGUGAAGGGCAGGAGCCAGAGGGAGUUAGAUAUGACCUGAAACCAGUUCUCCCCUCCACCCUGAGGAAUUCCGGUGCUUCGACACUGGCUCCUGAUGAAUUGGGGAAACCUCCCAGAAGGUUGUCAGCCUCCCUCCGGCAGGAGCUUUAUAGAGGUCUGUGGACACUUCAGAGCACCCACAUGGGCCAGAGAAGUAACUGGUCACGAGGCUUCCCCCAGGGGGACUUCCUCACUCAAGGACACAUUAAACUCUGAGUCAAUGAAUGCCAGAGGUUAGGGGUAAAGAUGACAGCACUUCACCUCAGCCUACUUCCUAGUUUUCAUAAAGUUUGGAAUUGAAGCUGUUGAAAUGUAAACUCACCAUAAAGAGCUGGAAGCAGCAGGCAUGUCUGUGGCCUGUGAAAAGGGAGAGGGGGACCAGGAGGGCGUGAGCACAAGAAGGACAGGGUGUGUCCAGAGGAAUGGAGCAAUUAAACUUUAAAACUAUUGUUUUC